UCUUCUAUUUAUAUCCUCUCAUCUCCUUCUUAUCUCUAUAUGAACUUGUCUCACUGAUAAGAAAAAGAUAAAGAAGAAGAAGAAGAAGGAAGAAAGGAGAGGUGUAAGGAGGAUCGAGGCAUUUCAAUAUUGAUCCUUAUCGUGCACCACUAGCAGCUGAAGCUGCCAGCAUGAUCUGAGCUAUCCUUCACAACAGGAAAGACUAGAUCAUGUGGCUGCUUCAUCCGUUGAUGGGAGCACGAGCACGAGCAUGGGCUUAAACCCUAAUUCGAUCUUCUUAUCCGCUUUCUGCUAUCCACCCAUUAGUGUUUGAUUCCCUGGAAACCCCAAGAAAAGGUUCUUUUGGGAUCCCUGCAGCUCGAUCGCGAUGGUGCCUUGGGGAGAUGACCCUCAUGUUCAUGUACUGUGCAUUUCAAUUUGUGUUACAUAUUUAUUAAUUCUUAAUUUGUAUUCAUGUCUUAAUCUGACUAUUUAUAUAUAUUUUUAAUUAAUUUUUUUUUUUUUUUUUUUUUUUUUUGAAGUGGGGUUUCCUCAUACACAUGAUUUACCAUUUUUAAGUUUCCAAUCAGAGAAGAGGUUAAAGUGAUGCUCUAUUCCUCUCUCUCUCUCUCUCUCUCUCUCUCUAUAUAUAUAUAUAUAUAUAUAUAUUUGAAAUUUACAUAUUUCUGGAUAUGUAAAGAUUGGGAAGCCUCAUUAUUGCAGUGAUGAUAUAUGGUAUGUUCAUGAAAGGGCAGGGUAUCGAUCUGGAAAGGAAAGUACAGACAAUGCAACCAGCUAGUCUAUGACUAUACACACUGAAGUAAAUGCAUAAAGCUGCAGAUCUGGAGAAAAUGGGAAUUUUUCUAUCUUCUGGUUUCCAUGUUUAUUUAUUUAUUUUCUUGUUGCUCCAACCCAAUUUAGGAAAUAAAGGAUUUGGCAUUUCCCUCGAA